AACCGCCUGCGAUACGCGUGAUCUGAUUUGUAGUAGAGUCACAUACGUCAAGGGAAUCAAGCCAUUGGCAGCACGCAUGCCGUCAUCGUCACGGACACGUAAAACCAACAAGGUAGAUGCCCACCUUGAAAUAGACUCUUGACGGACAAAUUAACACGGUAAUCGCGGGCUUAAU
rnacentral:other from 1 species